UAGGGAAUCUUCGGCAAUGGGGGGAACCCUGACCGAGCAACGCCGCGUGAGUGAAGAAGGUUUUCGGAUCGUAAAGCUCUGUUGUUAAGGAAGAACGAGUGUGAGAAUGGAAAGUUCAUACUGUGACGGUACUUAACCAGAAAAGGACGGCUAACUACGUGCCAGCAGCCGCGGUAAUACGUAGGUCACGAGCGUUGUCCGGAUUUAUUGGGCGUAAAGCGAGCGCAGGCGGUUAGAUAAGUCUGAAGUUAAAGGCAGUGGCUCAACCAUUGUAGGCUUUGGAAACUGUUUAACUUGAGUGCAGAAGGGGAGAGUGGAAUUCCAUGUGUAGCGGUGAAAUGCGUAGAUAUAUGGAGGAACACCGGUGGCGAAAGCGGCUCUCUGGUCUGUAACUGACGCUGAGGCUCGAAAGCGUGGGGACCGAACAGGAUUAGAUACCCUGGUAGUCCACGCCGUAACGAUGAGUGCUAGGUGUUAGGUCCUUUCCGGGACUUAGUGCCGCAGCUAACGCAUUAAGCACUCCGCCUGGGGAGUACGACCGCAAGGUU
rnacentral:rRNA from 1 species